rnacentral:rRNA from 1 species
ACAGGACUCUGCUAAGUCGUAAGACGAUGUAUAGGGUCUGACGCCUGCCCGGUGCCGGAAGGUUAAGGGGAUUUGUUAGCCGCAAGGCGAAGCUUUGAACCGAAGCCCCGGUAAACGGCGGCCGUAACUAUAACGGUCCUAAGGUAGCGAAAUUCCUUGUCGGGUAAGUUCCGACCUGCACGAAUGGCGUAACGAUUUCCGCGCUGUCUCAACCAGUGACUCAGCGAAAUUGAAUUCUCGGUGAAGAUGCCGAGUACCCGCGGUAAGACGGAAAGACCCCGUGAACCUUUACUACAGCUUGACAGUGACAUUCGGAAUAGCUUGUGUAGGAUAGGUGGGAGACUUUGAAGCUGGCACGCCAGUGUCGGUGGAGUCGUCCUUGAAAUACCACCCUGGUUGUUUUGGAUGUCUAACCUAGGCCCGUCAUCCGGGUCGGGGACACUGUCUGGUGGGUAGUUUGACUGGGGCGGUCGCCUCCCAAAGAGUAACGGAGGCGCGCGAAGGUUCCCUCAGCCCGAUUGGAAACCGGGCGUAGAGUGCAAUGGCAUAAGGGAGCUUGACUGCGAGACCCACAAGUCGAGCAGGUACGAAAGUAGGUCAUAGUGAUCCGGCGGUUCUGUAUGGAAGGGCCGUCGCUCAACGGAUAAAAGGUACUCCGGGGAUAACAGGCUGAUCUCCCCCAAGAGUUCACAUCGACGGGGAGGUUUGGCACCUCGAUGUCGGCUCAUCGCAUCCUGGGGCUGAAGUAGGUCCCAAGGGUUUGGCUGUUCGCCAAUUAAAGCGGUACGCGAGCUGGGUUUAAAACGUCGUGAGACAGUUUGGUCCCUAUCUACCGUGGGCGCAGGAUACUUGAGAAGAGCUGUCCUUAGUACGAGAGGACCGGGAUGGACGUACCGCUGGUGUUCCAGUUGUUCCGCCAGGAGCAGUCGCUGGGUAGCUAAGUACGGAAAGGAUAACCGCUGAAAGCAUCUAAGCGGGAAGCCUCCUUCAAGAUUAGGUAUCCCUGGGUGUAACAACCCCUGAAGGCCCGUUGUAGACCACAACGUUGAUAGGCUAGGUGUGUAAUCACAGUAAUGUGUUCAGCUUACUAGUACUAAUCGGCCGUGAGGCUUGACCAU